CAUAGGGCCUGUGGAUCAAAUUGCCAAGGAACCACCACUGCUAGCUGUCGAUAAUCAACCAAUUACCUACCCUUUAGCUAUAAUCGAUGGCAGAGUUAUGAAAAAAGCAGGUAAACUCACCAAACAAUUUCUGGUACAGUGGAGCGGAACGUGGCCAGAGGAUGCGUCGUGGAUUGACGCCGACCUGCUUCAACAGACCUACCCGGUUAUCCAGCUCGAGGACGAUCUGUUUUUUGGAGGAGCCACGGAUGUAAAAAGACAGAUUCCCCACCAACAGGUAGCUGAGGAUGCGCGGAAGAUUAUCGAGAGGGAAGUCACGCCGGCGAGGGAAGAUCCAGAACUCGACGGAAACCCCCUUUCCAAUCUAGGGAUCCGGCCGACCCGAAUCCGAAACCCGCCUAGCUGGAUCCGCGACUACGAAGUUAGUCACGACGGUUGAGAUUAUUGGGAGUUUUAUCGAAUCGUCCUUAAGUAAUUUUAAAUUUACAAGUAGG
rnacentral:lncRNA from 1 species